UUUCGAACAGAAAAGAAACGCAAACAGACAGGGGCUUCCAGCUCCGGCGGCGGACCUCGCCGUGUGCAGCGCUGCGACGUCGGCCUACGAGAUCGACAUGGUGCGGACGUCCAGCGGCGAAGUCGCUCCAUUUCCGCCUCGCUAUCCACCUCGCCCCCCUCUCCCACGCCACCGGACCCGACCCAACCCGGCGCCUAGCUCCGCCGAUCCGCCAACGCAAGGGAUUGAGUGCUCUGAUCUUCAGUGUUUGCAUUUUCCACAGGGCCAACUGAAGGAGCCGGUUCUUUAGUCUCCUCAAAAUUGCUGACAGCACAGCUAAAGGAACAGAAGCUUCAGACUAGUAUUCCUGAGAAUAACAACAGGAAAUCUAUUGAACAACACUGGCUCGGCAUUUGGCUGCCCCUGGAACAACUUAGUCUGAUCCUCUGUGAAGAACCCAAACAACUGACUAGCUGAAUUACAGAAGAAAUUACGAUGAGAACAAAUGACAAGCGGCAAAAAGAGCUGCAAGAGGACAAUUCUAGCAUGCAUACCUUGCCAGUACUUGAAACUUGUUGGGGAAUUGACAUUCAUGGCAGAGAUGUGUACACUCACAACAUUUUUGUUGCUUUCCAAAGUGAGGUGGUUGCUGCUAGGGAUCGUCGUCAUGUAAAAACUAUUGAGCAGGUUGGCGAUGUCCAAACCAUGAGCAUUGCUGACCUUAGCGGCAGGAUAAGAGUAGUCCGCUACAACACUAGUACGAAGGCUGCACAAUGUACUUGCCGAAUGUUUGAAGCAUUGGGCAUCAUGUGCUCUCACAUCAUUGGUGUUUUAAAGAAUGAUGGGUGUAAUGAAAUUCUUAGCCAAUAUGUGUUGCAUAGGUGGUCUAAAAUGGCUGCACGACAUGUUUCUUGUGAUGCUAAUGGACAUGAGCUAGAGGGGUCAUCUACAUCUCUUUCACCUACCAUCAAUAAACUGUACUCAGAAACAUGCUUGAUGUUCAGCUCGGCAUUGCAUACAGCUAAACAUUGUGAGGACAAGAUGUAAUACUUUCACAAAAUUAUUUCUGAUGCUCUUGCGCACUUGAGGCAGACGGUGCCGCUUCACGAGCAGAAUAAAGUUCAAGAGUUGGAAUCCUUCAUUGGAACGACAUUGCCGAGCAUCAUCAAAAUUCAUCCACCGGAGGAUGCAAACACAAAGGGCAGUGGUAAGAGAUUGAAGAGGGGUUCGGAGGAGGCCAUGAACAAAAGGAAAAGAGGAAGUAGUGUCCAGAAAGGUCUAAGAUCUGUAGAUUGUUCUAUUAAUCAGCACACCCAGCCCAUGGGAGCGGAUAUUAACAUUUGGUGCUAAAAUCAUGAAUGAGAAAUGCCUUUUGUUCAUGUGCUAUCCAAUGUUGGAGACUUCUGCUACAACUUAAACACAAAGUUGAAUAUGUUGGUGCAAUAUGUGUACCUGCUACCUUGGGCUAUAAAUCACAUCUGAGUUGCAACUCUAGUUAUGCCCUUCAUAGUAGAUUUUAUGUGUACUGUCAUGAGUGCUGCUGAGAAAGCAUUCAUGAUAUUUUGUAUAAAAAGGUGUGUAAGAGCAUAAUAUUAUUGUACUGUUAGCUUUUAAAUGCCAAGAUAGAUUUGAAAGUGGUGGAAUGCAUUGCCAAUGGAUAGUGGUUUAUGUGUUCCCUUAUGAUUUGAGAAAGGUGUCUACUACACUUGACGUUGGCUUCACAAUUCUAGUGCAAAAUUCACCAGUUCAAAUUAUUGUUCAUGAACUUGUUUAUUCUUCAUUUCUUUUAA